GAUUCAGUCAGUCGAGAGAGGAAGAACAGAAGAGCAGAGAACAGAAGAGCCCAAUGAGGAUCUCACUCUGAAACAUGCUCUUUUGCAGCCAGGAGCCAGCUGCCACUUCCUGCAUUUCUUGCAAGGGUCUCCACAUCCAGAGAAGGAUUUUACUUUUGUCCUCACAUCUGCAAAAACAGCUUUAAAAACACAAAGGUGAUAUAGUGCCUUAAACCUGGUGUUCCUUAGACAGCAGUAAGUGAGUCUGUAACUACACGCUUGGGUAAGGCUUCGGCCAUGUCUGGGCCUCUUCUCUCAGACCCUGAGGAAAACCUGCACAGUCACUCCAUCCUCACUGCAGCCCGGCUUGCCCGCAGAGGAUGGACAGAGGAAGGGAACAAGACAGGGUGGCAAUUUUCCCAUUUUGACUUAUCAGCACAUCAAACUUCUUUCUCCACACCAGAUGGAAAUCAGGGUCCAAAACUUGCAGAGAUUCUUGUGAAGGAGCUUGGGAACAUGCAGGUUCACAUCUUAAACAGCAGGAAGACAGCUACAGAAAGAGAGACAGCCUCUGACAAAAAGGCAGAUGAAACAAAACACACACAAGCAGAAAGACAGACGGGUCUCUGCAGUCAGACAGGCAUCUUGGUCUGGGCCUCUGGCUGUCGGCCCACAUGCAGGCGUCCAAGAAGGUUUAAGGCCCCGAUACUACCUGUCAUCACUGAGAUGUAGCCACCAUUUGAUCCAGAAAGGAAAACUUUAAAAAAUGUAUACACCUAUGGUUAUGCUUUUCCUUCGUUAUGAUAAGAUCAUUUGGUAGACUUCAACAAACCCUUGUGUUAAAUGGUAAUUAUCCCUAAAGGAUCAUGAAUAAAGGAUCCUUUUAAUGAUACAAAAACAAUGUUGCCCAUUUGUGAAAUGUAUGCUUUUAUAGGAAAUUAAAUUAUAAGAAAUAUGUCUUAUGUUGAAUGCAAUUUUGGAUUACUGAUGUGUCAUGAAUUGAUUUGACAUAUUAUACAAUUUUAUUAUAAAUCAUGUGACCCAGUCGUGCCAGAUCAAUGCAGUAUUGUAUUUCCACAAUAUCAAUGUUUAAAUCAAAUUCUGCAUUUUUUGUUGAAAGUUCUAAUUUUCAUUUAAAAAUAUGGUUUGGCACCAGCCUCAUGUUUACACAUCAA